rnacentral:lncRNA from 1 species
CUGAAAUUCACAUCAAUUCACAUCGUGAUAGCUAUUCACUGUAUUAAUAUCGUUGUUGUUUGAAAUUGACCAAUUUACAUUAUUGUAGAAAAUGAGGUAGAAACUUACGAGCGCCUGUAGAAUACCAUGAAUGAAUGUGUUAUUAUAACCAUGAUAACUAGUCGAGCUGAGCGAUUGACGAGACAAUUGUUUAUUUUUUUAAAUUCAACGCUUUUCCUAUAAUCCUGGGCGGCUUUUUGUUAAUCCAUAGGUCAAAUUGCAUUUACAUAUACAUUUUGUAAACUGCCAAGCUAAACCUUUCACUUGUUUGGUAAUCGCAUUAAAUUUCAUUAUAUUGACAACAAUGUUUGAAGAAACAGAUAUUAUAGGUAAAAAUUCAAAAAUUGAUAUAUAGCAGUCAACAUUAUGUUAUAAUCUUAACCACUAUAAAAACAAACAACCAUG